rnacentral:rRNA from 1 species
UACAGAGGGUGCGAGCGUUAAUCGGAAUUACUGGGCGUAAAGGGCGCGUAGGCGGUCUGGUCAGUCGGAUGUAAAAGCCCCGGGCUUAACCUGGGAAUGCCAUUCGAUACUGCCCGACUUGAGUAUGGUAGAGGGAAGCGGAAUUCCGGGUGUAGCGGUGAAAUGCGUAGAGAUCCGGAGGAACACCAGUGGCGAAGGCGGCUUCCUGGACCAAUACUGACGCUGAGGCGCGAAAGCGUGGGGAGCAAACAGGAUUAGAUACCCUGGUAGUCCACGCCCUAAACGAUGAGAACUAGCCGUUGGGGGUAUUAAAACCUUUAGUGGCGAAGCUAACGCGAUAAGUUCUCCGCCUGG